GAUGAACGCUGGCGGCGUGCCUAAUACAUGCAAGUCGAGCGAAUGGAUUGAGAGCUUGCUCUUAUGAAGUUAGCGGCGGACGGGUGAGUAACACGUGGGUAACCUGCCCAUAAGACUGGGAUAACUCCGGGAAACCGGGGCUAAUACCGGAUAACAUUUUGAACCGCAUGGUUCGAAAUUGAAAGGCGGCUUCGGCUGUCACUUAUGGAUGGACCCGCGUCGCAUUAGCUAGUUGGUGAGGUAACGGCUCACCAAGGCAACGAUGCGUAGCCGGCCUGAGAGGGUGAUCGGCCACACUGGGACUGAGACACGGCCCAGACUCCUACGGGAGGCAGCAGUAGGGAAUCUUCCGCAAUGGACGAAAGUCUGACGGAGCAACGCCGCGUGAGUGAUGAAGGCUUUCGGGUCGUAAAACUCUGUUGUUAGGGAAGAACAAGUGCUAGUUGAGUAAGCUGGCACCUUGACGGUACCUAACCAGAAAGCCACGGCUAACUACGUGCCAGCCGCCGCAGUAA
rnacentral:rRNA from 1 species